UGAUCUCUUCUCUCAUCCCAAGCGAUGAUGCGAUUGUCUUGUUUCUGCCAACACCUUUCGAUGGAUUCGGCUUUCAAAUCGCCCAUCUUUCAUCCAACUGCAUCUUUCAGUCAUUCUCAAGUUUCAUUCCCUUUCUUCAGCUUCCAAGCACAAUACCUUAGCCUCAACAAACCACCCACCAUCUUACGCUGCUCUAACUCUUCCACCAUUUCUUCCACCACUAAUGGUAAUAACAACAAUAUGGCAGGGCUUCCGGUGAAGAAGAAGAGGAAGCGGUAUAGGAAACAGUACCCUGGAGAGAAUGAGGGCAUUACUGAAGAGAUGAGAUUCGUUGCCAUGAGACUUCGUAAUAUUAAAGGUAAAAAGGUCAGUUCCGAUAGUGUUUCUGACUCUGAAACCGACACUGAAAAUAACCCAAGCGAUCAAGAAAAAGAUGAUUCUGAAACUGUGAAAAGCGGUGAAAAUGGUAGUGGUGGAGAAGCGGAGACUUGGAGUCCCACUAUGGAAGGAUUUCUUAAGUACUUGGUUGAUAGCAAAUUCGUCUUCAACACUAUUGAGCGCAUCGUUGAUGAAUCCGAUGAUGUUGCUUAUGCCUACUUCAGGAAAACUGGACUGGAAAGAUCAGCAGGGCUUUCUAAAGAUCUAGAAUGGUUCAGCCAACGAGAUCUUGUAGUUCCAGAACCUAGCAAUCCAGGAGUUUCGUAUGUCAAUUAUUUGAAGGAAUUAGCCGAGAAAAGUGCCCCACUUUUCUUGUCUCAUUUCUACAAUAUUUAUUUUUCACACAUAGCUGGCGGUCAAGUGAUUGCAAGGAAGGUUUCUGAUCAGCUUCUUGAAGGAACGGAGCUAGAGUUCUAUAAAUGGGAGGGUGAUGUGCAAGAAUCAUUGAAAGAUGUCCGCAAGAAUCUCAACAUGCUUGGCGAGCAUUGGUCUCGAGAUGAUCGAAAUAAAUGCCUGAAAGAAGCAGCAAAGUCAUUCAAGUUUUUGGGGCAGAUAGUUCGUUUGAUAAUCUUAUAAACAGGAUUGGUUUCCCAUCAAUGCACUGUAUAUUUGUAAGCCGAUAACCUUUCCACUUGUUCUCCUCUACCGACCUCCUUUUGCACUGCAUGCCAUUGAUAUUAGAAGCCGGCAAUGCAUUCACCUAGUUGUCGGGAUUGUCGGGACAGCCAACAAAUGGAAUAUCGGCACCACUGUCGUGCAUUCAUUGACAUUAAUGUCCUCUAGUGGUGGUGGUGACAUUCUUACUUGGGGGCACUAAGCAAAGGAAGCGGCCUUUGUUUCCAAAACAUGAAAAUGGUGGCGAUUGGUGUUUCCACUGAAGAUGUGUGAAAAUAAACAGCAAGUUUGACGGUGGGACAGUGGCGAUGUUUCAUGUUCUUGGGUGUUUGCUUUUUAAUGUAACAUGCAAGAAACCAUGAAUUUAUCCUAGUGGGUGUAAGAGUAUGCAGGCUUUGAUUAAAAUUGGACACUUUAUGUACUAUUUUGAAAUUUUAGAAGAGACAUAACCAAGUGGGAAUAGACCAAGCUAGGACACUUUCAUUAUGUUUGUUGUUUGUUAAGUUUCCAUGUCCGACACAUACAAAGAAAUUUUUUCGGAUUAUCGUAUGACAAUGCAGAUUACCCUCUUGUUGAGAAAUUUUAAUAAGAAUUUAUGUUGUGUUCUGAUCA